AUCCUCCUGCCUCAGCCUCCCAAGCCACAGGGAUUAUAAGCAUGCACCCCCAUGCUCAGCUCUUUUCUUUUCUCUUUUUAAAAUAGUAAAUGGUUACCUGCAAUAUAAAGUCCAUUUUUUAAAGAUAGAACUGAAGCACUUUAUUAACAGUGUUGUGAAAUACCAUGUUAUGAUUUAAAGCCAGACAAGCCAUUAUUUGUAAUCCUCUAACACAUUGUAAGCUUUCAACCCAAUUGUGGGAUUAGCCUAGCCAAACUUUGGGGCAGAAUAGACAAUAGUGAUACCAAAGUACUUUGAGUAGAUGCUCAAGUCGAUUUGCAUCAGUCCUAGAGACAGCCAUGGGGGAGGAAGAAAGAACUGCCAACAAAAAUUCAGGCACUACAAAAGAAACCUCAUAAUUUCCUACUUAAUUGUUACACAGGAUGUUUAAGCUCUUGGGUGAUCUUUGGCCCAGAUAUCCAAGGCAUUUUGCUGUCAGGGUUGCUUUUCAUGAAACUGGCAAUUUUACAUUCUGAUUUCUACAGAUCUUCACUUCAGUGAGUUCCCUUGAGCCAAGAUCUUUCAUCAUCAGGUGGCCUCUGCCUAAAGGAGAUAUAAUUUUUCCAGUCUUGAGACAGACUGUCUUUUGAAAGACCAUAGUCUCAGCACAAAAAGCAAAGAAUGGGGACACAAAGCUCACAUUUUUCAGCUUAGCCAGCACCUUGCUGUGUGUCUGCCCCUGUGCUUGGCUUCAAGACCCAGGGGGAAGCCUGUGGAGCAAAACCAGAUACUGAAUGAGGUGCCCUGGGGUGGGGGG
rnacentral:lncRNA from 1 species